GUGCUCACUUCAGCAGCACACAUUCUAAAACUGUAACGAUACAGAGAAGAUUAGCAUGGCCCUGCACAAGGAUGGCAUGCAGAUUCAUGAAGCAUUCCAUAUUUUU